rnacentral:rRNA from 1 species
GACGAACGCUGGCGGCGUGCUUAACACAUGCCAGUCGAACGGAAAGGCCCUGCUUUUGUGGGGUGCUCGAGUGGCGAACGGGUGAGUAACACGUGAGUAACCUGCCCUUGACUUUGGGAUAACUUCAGGAAACUGGGGCUAAUAUCGGAUAGGAGCUCCUGCUGCAUGGUGGGGGUUGGAAAGUUUCGGCGGUUGGGGAUGGACUCGCGGCUUAUCAGCUUGUUGGUGGGGUAGUGGCUUACCAAGGCUUUGACGGGUAGCCGGCCUGAGAGGGUGACCGGCCCCAUUGGGACUGGGAAAGGACCCGGACUCAUACGGGAGGCAGGAGUGGGGAAUAUAGCGCAAUGGGCGGAGGCCUGAAGCAGCAACGCCGGGUGCGGGAUGACGGCCUUCGGGUUGUAAACCGCUUUCGCGUGUGACGAAGCGUGAGUGACGGAAAUGGGUAAAGAAGCACCGGCUAACUACGU